rnacentral:lncRNA from 1 species
UCUCAGCAGUCAGGGCUCUUGAGGUCUAGGAGGUGCUGCUGAGGGAAGGAAGGUUAGGUUCUGCUUUCAGACCCUAAGAAUCCAAAUGAACCCGCCUAAUGACUUGGCGGAAGCUGGCUGGCUCCAAGGUCCAACAUUAUUUCAUCUUCUUCUCAGCAACUUGACCAGGACUGUAGAGGCUCACAUAUGUGACUUCAUUGGCUGACAGCUGUGCUCCUUUAUGGCAUAAAUGGCAUGAUCAAACGGUUAUCCACCAUAAUAU